ACUUUAAGUACAAAAGGGCUUAUAUUUUCCCAAAGAACUAUAAUAUUUGGUAUUAAAUGGUCAAAACAUGUCCAAGAAUUUUGUAAUAUUCCUGGACUUUAACCAUGUUAACACAUUUACUUUAACAGUUUAAUAUUAUUCAAAAUAGGUGGACCCAUCCCUCUUUUAGAAAAGUUGUUUAAAAUAUAAUGUAUUUCACCUCUUUUUGAGUAAAAAAUUCUAAGUUGUCAAAGGUUUUAUAUAGUAGCACUGUACAAAUCCUUAGUAUUUCUAAUUUCUUUUCUACAACAGACUGAACAGUAAACAUGGUAAAAUGACCCCUUCAAGGCCCUUGUCUGAGGGAGGUUUGGUCCCAACCUGAUAAUAACAAACAUAGGUCAAAGUACGGCCUUUUACACAGUGUUUUGAUCAAGACCAACCAGCAAGCUAUAAGGGACCACAACUUAGUAUUGUACACAAUUCGAACAGGAAAACCAACGAUCUAAAUUAUAUUUCCAAACGGGAAAAUACCAAUGAACCACAUCAACAACCGAUAACUGCUGAGCGACAGGUCUCUGAAUCAACCAGGACAUGUGCACAAACCUGCAGCGGGUAUGACCGUCAUCAUACAUUAUAAUUGCAGUUGAAGGCAAAUCCUUCAGAAGUUCUUUGUACUUUAUUUUUACAACGAACAUUUUUUUUAUAGGGAAUAUAAGUUAGGGGAGAGAAACCAACGUUUUGUUCUGUACUGGUAUUUCUAUUUAUAUCGGAGCACUCCCGCUUGAAAUAAAUUGGUUUCAUGCUGAAACAAAUAUUCUCGCAGAUAUUUACAGUGUUGUGGAGUGCUGAUAGGUUUAAAAUCGUUAUAUAAAGGCUAGACUGUGAUUUUAAAAAA
rnacentral:lncRNA from 1 species